rnacentral:rRNA from 1 species
UGGGGAAUAUUGGACAAUGGGCGCAAGCCUGAUCCAGCCAUGCUGCGUGAGUGAUGAAGGCCCUAGGGUUGUAAAGCUCUUUCACCGGUGAAGAUAAUGACGGUAACCGGAGAAGAAGCCCCGGCUAACUUCGUGCCAGCAGCCGCGGUAAUACGAAGGGGGCUAGCGUUGUUCGGAUUUACUGGGCGUAAAGCGCACGUAGGCGGACUUUUAAGUCAGGGGUGAAAUCCCGGGGCUCAACCCCGGAACUGCCUUUGAUACUGGAAGUCUUGAGUAUGGUAGAGGUGAGUGGAAUUCCGAGUGUAGAGGUGAAAUUCGUAGAUAUUCGGAGGAACACCAGUGGCGAAGGCGGCUCACUGGACCAUUACUGACGCUGAGGUGCGAAAGCGGGGGGAGCAAACAGG